UCUCAAAGUCAAGUCAUCAGGGCUCUUAAAAGCUUCUGCCUAAUUUUUUUUUUGUUUGUUUUUAAAAAAUCAUUUAAAAUAUAUGGACUCAUUAAAUCUCCGGAGCUGAAAGAAACUGAGAAAUCCAGUUCACCAUCUUCAGUUUACAGGUUAAGGGACUUACCCAGGUUACAGUCAGUGACUGACAGACUGUGGGGCAGAUAAUUGUGUUGACUUCUGUGAAGAAUCCUUGCUGAAGACUGAAAUGAUAGCCCUGGUCAAGUCAGCCUCUGAAGAAUAGAGCUGAUAAUGAGAUUGGACUUCAACGUUCUCCUCUAUCUUGUUCAGACCCCAUCCAGCUGGGCAAACGGUUAAGUGACUUGCCCAGGGUCACACAAUUACACCCAGCACAAUGCUUCACGCAGAAAUGAUAAGCAGGAUGAUUUUAGAAAAACCUGGAAGAUUUACAUGAACUGAUGCGGAAUAAAGUGAGCAGA